CCUGGCUCAUCUCUGCGAAGAUUGCUGCAGUUACUCACCCCCUUGUUUUAACGCACCUCUUCCUUCUCUUUUUCCUCUUUAUUUCCGGCUCUUUCUUCCUUCUUCUUCCUUCUUCCUUCGUUCUGUUCUUCCUUGUUCUUUCCGAAGCAGAGACAGCGAGAGGGAGACCCGUAACCCGAAAGACCCAGAAACCCGAUUCUCCAUGAGCUGAUUUCCGGCGAUUUUUGGUAGUUUUUCCGGUGAAAUUCUGGUCGUUUUUCUAAAGAAAUUUUUAGGAUGUUUGCGCAGGUUCUAAAGAUUAUGGAUUGGAUUAACUGCUACCUUAAGAGAUUUAAAGCUGUGUAGUUAGGAUUUCAGUGCUUUGUACUUAUUAAUGUUUAUACUGUUUUGUAUGUAACAUGUUUAAGAAUUUACUUGUAUUUAGUAAACUUUCCAUGUAUGCUUUCGUUUCAUAUGUGACACAUGUUUCUUUGUAAUUAGUGUAAAGAACUUUUAAUGUAUUUCUAUUGGAAUUUCAGUCAAAA